CGAUGGGAGCUUGCUCCCUGAGAUCAGCGGCGGACGGGUGAGAAACACGUGGGUAACCUGCCUGUAAGACUGGGAUAACUCCGGGAAACCGGGGCUAAUACCGGAUAACACCUACCCCCGCAUGGGGGAAGGUUGAAAGGUGGCUUCGGCUAUCACUUACAGAUGGACCCGCGGCGCAUUAGCUAGUUGGUGAGGUAAUGGCUCACCAAGGCGACGAUGCGUAGCCGACCUGAGAGGGUGAUCGGCCACACUGGGACUGAGACACGGCCCAGACUCCUACGGGAGGCAGCAGUAGGGAAUCUUCCGCAAUGGACGAAAGUCUGACGGAGCAACGCCGCGUGAGUGAAGAAGGUUUUCGGAUCGUAAAACUCUGUUGUUAGGGAAGAACAAGUGCCGUUCGAAUAGGGCGGCGCCUUGACGGUACCUAACCAGAAAGCCACGGCUAACUACGUGCCAGCAGCCGCGGUAAUACGUAGGUGGCAAGCGUUGUCCGGAAUUAUUGGGCGUAAAGCGCGCGCAGGUGGUUUCUUAAGUCUGAUGUGAAAGCCCACGGCUCAACCGUGGAGGGUCAUUGGAAACUGGGGAACUUGAGUGCAGAAGAGGAAAGUGGAAUUCCAAGUGUAGCGGUGAAAUGCGUAGAUAUUUGGAGGAACACCAGUGGCGAAGGCGACUUUCUGGUCUGUAACUGACACUGAGGCGCGAAAGCGUG
rnacentral:rRNA from 1 species